GACGUAGGGCGCGAGCGUUGUCCGGAUUUAUUGGGCGUAAAGAGCUCGUAGGCGGCUUGUUGCGUCGACUGUGAAAACCUGCGGCUCAACCGUGUGGUCUGCAGUCGAUACGGGCAGGCUGGAGUUCGGUAGGGGAGACUGGAAUUCCUGGUGUAGCGGUGAAAUGCGCAGAUAUCAGGAGGAACAGCCGGUGGCGAAGGCGGAUCUCUGGGCCUUACCUGACGCUGAGGCGCGAAAAGCUAGGGGAGCGAACAGG
rnacentral:rRNA from 1 species